GACGGAGGGUGCUAGCGUUGUUCGGAAUGACUGGGCGUAAAGGGCGCGUAGGCGGCUCGUGAAGUCGGGUGUGAAAGCCCGGGGCUCAACCCCGGAACGGCAUCCGAUACUGGCGGGCCUGAGACCGGGAGAGGAGGGUGGAAUACCCAGUGUAGAGGUGAAAUUCGUAGAUAUUGGGUGGAACACCGGUGGCGAAAGCGGCUCUCUGGCCCGGAUCUGACGCUGAGGCGCGAAAGCGUGGGGAGCAAACAGG
rnacentral:rRNA from 1 species